rnacentral:lncRNA from 1 species
CAAUACCUAUGACGUAGCUGUCUAUUCUACUUCACCGUCUGGUCGCAUCAUCAUAUAAGAUGAUGCAUCUCACCCAUUUUUCACAAUCAAACGAAGACUCCCGUUCUCCCUUCUUCCACCAUCUUCAUUCACCCUCUACCAUCUUCCAUCCUAUACGCAACAGCUAGCCCAAACCACCCAACCAAAAACCCCUCUCCUAACAUACCCAAUAGCCAAGCACACUUCAACCAAAAACCACUUCCUGAACAUACCAAAUGGAGUGACCUUCUCCUUCUGUCUAGUUAGUGAGUGUAUUUCACCUGUUUCUCUGGUUCUUGUUGUUCGGUGUUUCAUGUGGGUUUUGUUUUGUUGCGCUUAAGUUCUUUUUCGUUUUUGUUAUUAUUUGUUUGGUUCAGCGCUUCAGUUUACUUCGGUUCUCUUCCCUCUUGUCCAGUUUCGUUCAGUAGAGUUUCAGUCGGUCCCUGCUCGACGUUCUAUUCUGACUGUCAUUGAUCUGUUCCGCUCGGCGUUCUAUUCGGCUCUGUUUAAUUCAGGUUUCGGGUGAGAUUAGUACGAAACGUAAACAUGAUGAGACUGUGGGUAAUCCAGAUAAUAUAAAAGGUUUUAAUUUUUCUUCUUCUAAACAUGUGUAUCUAAUAAUAUUUAAAUUUUUGUAUUGCACUUUCUAUGAAUAAUUACACUUUGAAAUAGUUUAUUGUCAUCUUCACCCAUUAUUUAAGGUCGUUAUUACGGUCAUCUGCCUAUUUUAUGAUAUUAUUUAAUUAUUUCUUCAAAUUCCAUUAAAAUAUUUUAUAAUAUGUAAUAUUUAUUUUUUAUUUAAUGUACUAUAUCAUUCCUAAUUUCUAGUUUUUAUUAAUAAUUUUUUCAGUUACAUUUAAUUUUAUGCUAAUAUUUUUUUUCUUCUAAUUCCAGAUUCUAUGGAGGUCGAUGAUUCUCAACAAAUUAUUAAUUUACCUUCUACCUCAAAGAAAAGUUAGUGAUUAUUCAAUUUAUUUUUUGGUUACUUACAAAAUUUGAGAUUUUCAUUUAUAUUUUAAGAAAUUUUACUUUUAUAUAUCUCCAUCUUUUAUUAGGACCUAGACUGAAGAAAAAAAAUUUAAUCUCAUUUGAAGAUCGGUGUUGUUAUGUUAAACAAAUUCCUCAAAGUGUUUUUCCCAAAAAAAAUUGUUGGCGGUGCUAAUAAUUGUAAGUGGUCUUGCAAAUUUUUGUAGUAAUUCAAUUUUUUUUUAAAUUCUUUGUUUUUUGAUUGAAAUGUAAUAUAUUAUUGUUGCAGUUUAUUAGAAUUGCUACUGAACUUGCGAAUGAUAUUAUUUAUAAUAGUCUAAGAAUGACAACAGUUUAUAAAUGAUAAUAUUUGGAGAUAAAUGUUUAUACAGAUUUGAUGAUUGCAGCAGUGAUCUGGAGAUGAUGAAGAUGAUGAGUAGAUCAGAUGAAGAAUCUCCAGAUGAACAGAUGAUUUGAUUCGAUGCCUUGAGAUUCCAGAAGACAGAUUCCAGAAGACAGAUUGAAGAACCUGGAGGACAGAUUGAAGAAUAGAGAUGGUGAUUUAGGAACAAGGAUUUGAUUCCAAAACCUAAGGUUUUAGUUGUGUUGUUCUAUACUUAUAGGGAUAAUUACCAACGGCUAUAUGGUUUAGGUGAGUUUGGUAGAUAUCCUUAAUUGUGGUAAUAAAUGAGAUUAGGAAAUGUUUAUAUUGGGAAUAAUGAAUUAAGGAUUGGGAGAAUAUUUGAAAGGAUAUUGUUGGAUAUUGAGUGAUAGGAUAUAUGUGUUUUAGUAGGGACUUGUAUGGUAUUUUCACAAUAAUUCUAGUAUUCUAAUAGUCCCCCUCGAAGAUAAGGCCAUAAACUACUAGGAUAGUAUAGGUAUUUGAUAAAAAAUAAAAGGUGUAUAUGGGUAUUUUGUGUAUCUGGGUAUAUGGGUAAUCGGAUAUGGAUGUGUGGAUAUUGGGUUUAUUGUGUUCUAUAAAAGGGUGUGUUUGUGGGGUUUUUCUUUUUGAUUGGUGGCACUAGGGUUUGGGUUUGGCGGGAGUCGCUUCGUUUCAUAGGUUUGCUCCUCUUCCUUCUCCUUCUUGUAUUUUGUUUUCUCCUCUUCCUUGAUGUAUGUUCUUCAUUCCGAGUUGCAUCAGUAGUGUUUUGUAUAGUGUUCCUGUUACUGGUUUUGUGAAUAUAUCGGCUACAUUCAUUCUCGAGUCUACUCUGUCUAUUUUCAAGUUUUUCUCCAUGAUUUUGUCGCGCACUGUGUGAAUGUCGAUCUCGAUGUGUUUCGUUCUUUGAUGUAGUACUGGAUUUUUUGCUAUUGCUGCUGCAGAGUUGCUAUUUGUGUAGAUUAUUGGUGUCUCAUUUUUGUAAGUUCCGAUUUCUUUUAGUAGAUUAAUGAUCCAUGUUAUCUCGCAACUUGUGUAUGCCAAUGCCCUGUAUUCUGCUUCUGCUGAUGAUCGAGCAACUGUGUGUUGCUUCUUUGUUUGCCAUGAUAUUAGGGACUCUCCAAGAAAGAUGGCGAAUCCUGUUGUGGACCUUCUUGUUGAAGGGCAUGAUGCCCAGUCAGAGUCUGAGAAGGCUCUUAAUCCUGAAGUUUUGGAUCCUGAGAAGACAACAGCAAAACCAGGUGAUUGUUUAAUAUAUCUUAGCACUUUGUGUGCUGCAUUUAGAUCCUUUUGCCUUGGUUUGGCCAUGUUUUGGCUCAGUGUAUUUACUGCAUAUGUUAUGUCUGGUCUGGUUACUGUUAGGUAUACCAAUUUUCCUACUAUGCUUCUGUAUUGUGUGGCAUCCUCUAGUUCUUUUUCAUCAUUCUCUUUUUUGUUAUUUUCUUGUGUUUUCUUUGCCGGUGUAGUUGUUGGUUUUGAAUUUAGAUAUCCAGUUGAUUCUAACAGAUCUAGUACAUAUUUUCUUUGUCCCAUGUAUAUUCCUGUUUGUGCAUAGGUGAAUUCUAGUCCGAAGAAGUAUUUUAGUUUUCCUAGAUCUUUGAUGUUGAAAAAAUUUGCCAAUUCUGUUUUUGUUUUGUUUAUCUGACUAAUAUUAUUCCCUGUGAUUAAUAGGUCGUCUACAUAUGCUAGUAUGAAUGUUUUUGAAUUUUGUUCUUCUUUUAUGAAGAGUGCAUAGUCUGUCUUGGUUUGUUUAAAACCUAUUGUUUGUAGUGCACUGUUUAGUUUAUGAAACCACAUUCUAGAAGCUUGUUUAAGGCCAUAUAGGGAUUUUUUCAGUUUACACACUAGGUUUUGUUCCUUUUGGUUUUUGAUUUUCAAGCCUUGAGGAAUUUUCAUGAAAACUUCUUCUUCUAGAUCUCCAUGUAAGAAGGCAUUUUGGACAUCCAUUUGGUGUAAAUGCCAUCUGUUUUGGGCUGCUAAGGCUAUUAUUGUCCUUAGUGUUGUCAUCCUAGAGACUGGUGCAAAGGUGUCUGUAUAAUCUAUUCCUUCAACUUGGUUAUAUCCUUUUGCUACUAGUCUGGCCUUGUGCCUUUCUAGUGUUCCAUCUGAGUUGAACUUUGUUUUGUAUACCCAUUUGUUUCCUAUUGCUUUCUUACCUUCUGGUAAUUCUACAAUUUCCCAUGUUUUGUUUUCUUUUAAUGCUUUCAAUUCUUUUUCCAUUGCAUCACACCAUUUUGAUUCCUUUAUUGCUUGUGUGUAUGUUUUUGGUUCUUUUUCUUUGUUUAUUUCAGUUAAGAAAGCAUUGUGUUUUUCUGAUAGAUUGUCAUAGGAUAUGUAUUUUUCUAUUGGGUAUUUUGAUUUAUUUGCAUUGUAGCAUAUGUAAUCUUCUAGAUUUUUAGGCCUUUUUGUUUCUCUGUUAGGCCUUUGUGUUGUUGGUUCUGGUUCUUUUCUCUUGCUUUGUGUAGUUUGUUCUGUUGUUUUGUUUGUUGUGUAAUUUAUGUCUUCUAUUAAGGAUGGGUUUAUGACUUCUUUUUCUUGUUUAUUUUUAAAUGGGAAGACAGUUUCGUAGAAGGUUACAUCUCUAUUUAUAAAGAUUGUUCCUUUUUCUAGGUCUAGGAUUUUGUAUCCCUUUGUCAGUGUUGUGUAACCAAGGAAGACUCCUUUUACUGCUCUUGGUUCAAACUUAUCUGAGAUUUUAUUGUUCUUUGCAUAGCAUAGGCAUCCAAAGACUCUUAGGCUGUUGUAAUUUGGUUCUUUGUUGAAGAAAAUGUUGUAUGGUGUUUUCUUUUGUAUGACAGGAGAGGGUGUCCUGUUUAUUAAGUAGCUUGCUGUCAAUAUGCAUUCUCCCCAGUAUUUUAUUGGUGUUUGGGAGUGAAACAUUAUGCUCCUGGCUACAUCUAGUAGGUGUCUAUGUUUCCUUUCUACAAUGGAGUUUUGUUGGGGGGUAUAUGGACAUGUCAACUGAUGUCUUAUGCCAUAUUUUGCUAAAAAUAUUUUGAAUUCCUGGGAUUGAAAUUCUGUUCCAUUGUCACUCCUUAUGGUUCCUAUUUUUGUUUUGAAUUGAUUCAUUGCUUCUAAUGUGAAAUUUUUGAAAAUUUCAUAAGUAUUGCUUUUGUUUCUCAUUAGUAUUGUCCAGGUUGCCCUAGAAAAAUCGUCCACUAUGGUCAUAAAAUAUUUAUGUCCUUUGUGGGUUGGUUCUUUGUAUGGACCCUAUAGGUCUAUAUGCAAUAAUUCAAAAAUUUCUGAUGUUUUAGAAUUGCUAGAAGGAAAAGAGAAUCUAGUAUGUUUUGCCAUAGGGCAUUCAUUACAAAAUAUAUUCUCUAAUUUUGGUAAAAAAGUACUGUUUUUCCUAAUUAAAUCAUAUCUAAUCUGGGAUGGGUGUCCCAGUCUUUUGUGCUAAAUAUUUGUUGAAGGUGCUCUGUUGACAGCAUAUGACCUUGGUUGUUCCAAGACUUCUUUUCUUCCAUUCAGCAUGUAUAGUCCAUUGAUCCUUCUACCCAUAGAAAUCAAUCUCAUCUUCGAAUCCUGUAUCAAACAAUGAUCAGGAUGAAAUGAGAAGCUACAUUUUAAUUGUUUUGUAAGUUUUGUUACUGAUAUCAAAUUCACAUUGAAGUCAGUGAUCUGUAGUACAUUAUGCAAUGUUAACAGAUCGUCUAUUUUGUAAUUCCCCAUGCAUCUCACAGUUGUUGUUUGUGAGUUUGGGAGGUUUACAAUAAUAGGUUUUACUAGUGCCCUUUUUUCACUUAGUGUGAUGGUUGGUCCACACAUGUGAUCUGUGGCUCCACUGUCUAUUAUCCAGUCAGUGGUGUUCCUAGUUUUUGUAUUUAAACAAAAUGAUUCUUGGGACUUACCAGUAUGAUUUGGGUUCAUUUCUGGUUGUAUUUGUGCUCUGCCCAUGUGUACAGAAUGUUUUUCCUCUCCUGUUUGUUGUAUUUGAUUUUGAUUAAGGAGGGAUCUCAGUUGUUCCAUUAUAUCUUGAUUGUUUUGAUUUCCAUUCUGAUAUUCAGGUUGACUGAGGUUGUUGUUCUGAUAUCCAUUGUCAUUUUCAGUCAUGUAGUAUUCCUGGUUUGUAUCUUCUAUUGUAUAGUUGUUUUCAUUCUCUUGCCACUGUUGGUUUUCAACUUCCUCAGAGUAGCUGUUGUAUGCUCUUGUCUGUGGUCUGAAGUUGUUGUUGAAGUUUCUACCUCUUUGGUAGUUGUGGCCUCUAGUUGGUUGUCCCUGUGGCCUGAAGGGUGGUCUCCUUUGUUGGUUGAAUUGUGGUUGGAAAGAUGGUCUGGGAUUUUGUUGAUUGUUUCCAUAUGUUGGUCUUUCUGCAGGGUAACCAUGCAAUUGAUAGCAUGUGUUAAUUGUGUGUCCUGGCCUUUUACAACCAGUGCAGUAGGGCCUUUCACUCUGUGGUCUCGGUGGCCUGUAGGGUCCUUGUGCUAGUAGUGCUGUGGCUGACUCUUUUGGUGUCUCCAUAUCCUUAGUUUGUUCAUCUUGAGUCACCAUUGAAUAAGCUCUGUUUAAGUCAGGCUGGGGAUCCAUUUGCAUUAUUUGCCUGCUUAGCUGUUUAUAUGUUUCAUUUAGCCCAUUCAGAAACUUUAUGAGUCUUUCUUCUUGUAUUACUUCUACACUUUUCCUGCUCAUAUCGUAUUCAUUCCAUAAUUUUGUCAGUUUUGUGUAGUAGUUGCAGACUGAAUCUUCUCCUUGUGUAAGAUUCAUGAUUUUUACUUGUAAUUGGAAGACUAGUGGUCCAUUUUGUAUGUGAAAUCUUGCUUUUAGCUCCUUCCAUAGCAAGUGGGCUGACUUGUAGAAAAUGAAAGCUGGAGAGAGUUCUAGGCUUAGUCCGUUUAGUAUCCAGGACCUCACUAGAGCAUCAGUUGCUUUCCACUUUUCAUAUUCUUUUUCAUUUCUCUCUUCAGGAGUGGGAAUUUCACCUGUUAAAAAUUUCUCUUUGUUUUUGGACUCCACAGCUAUAAUAAACUGUGCACUCCAAAUGUUCCAGUUAUUUCCAUCCAUCUUGAAUGGUACUAACUGAAUUCCUGGAUUGUCUGAAUAUGUUGGGAUAACAUUUUCAUUUGACAUUUUUGUUUCUGAAAAAAAAUAAAUCAAUAAAUGCAGAUGAUCAGAAUGAUGCUGGAAAAUAUCAGGAUAUAGGUGGUGCUACUAUGGAGUGUAUUGAUCACGUGGUGGUGCCAAGACAGUUUCCUGUUUAUCAACCCCCUUUUGAUCCUGUGGCUUGGAAAAAUGCAGCUUGGCUUGGGCUNNNNNNNNNNNNNNNNNNNNNNNNNNNNNNNNNNNNNNNNNNNNNNNNNNNNNNNNNNNNNNNNNNNNNNNNNNNNNNNNNNNNNNNNNNNNNNNNNNNNUUGUGGAUGAUGAUCCAGAUCAGGGACCACAGCCACUUGACAGUGAUCCUGAUGAUGAAGAACCUGAUGGUUUUGAUGAGGACUGGAAUGUUGAUGAGGGAGCUGGUGGUGUUUAUGUACUCAGUGAUGAUGAGAAAGCUAGAGAGAGUGAAGACUACUGUAUUUUUACUUGUGAGGAAAAAGACUGUGUGAGGAUGCUGAGACGUAAGAGGAUGAAGGCAAGGUUGAGAGCUCACUAUAAGGAGAAAGCUCUGGACCUUGGAGUUUGGAAUGGGGAGUAUCCUCCUCGUCUAAUGGAUAGUCCUUAAAACUUUUGACAAUUUGUAAAAAACUUGAAUGAAUAUAUUAUGAAAGGAGAAAAUAUCGAUUACUUGUGAAAAAAUGUGCUUGAUAUUAUGAUGUAUGUAUUAUGCUAUGAUGAAUAUCCCUCUUUUUUUUUUUUUCCUUACAGGUAUGAAUGCUGAUCAGAUGAAUGAUAUAAAUCGUCUCUUGGAUAGUAUGAAUGAUGUGUGGAGUGAUACUUCUCCUUCUAUGAGUCUGGAUAGUGUUAAACAACUAUCACAGGAGAUUAUUGACAAGAUGAAACGUGAUGAUGGUGAGAUUGAUCCUGAUUAUGGACUAUUUCUCUUGACAAAGCUAAAGAAGGAAGCUGAUCUUGUGAUCAGCGAGUGAAAACAAGAGAGAGAGAAAAAAAAAUGUGAAGUUAAAAAUGAAAAUGUUGUUGUAUGAUUAGCAAGAUCUUUUACUGCUCUGAUACCAUAUUAGAAUUGCUACUGAACUUGCGAAUGAUAUUAUUUAUAAUAGUCUAAGAAUGACAACAGUUUAUGAAUGAUAAUAUUUGGAGAUAAAUGUUUAUACAGAUUUGAUGAUUGCAGCAGUGAUCUGGAGAUGAUGAAGAUGAUGAGUAGAUCAGAUGAAGAAUCUCCAGAUGAACAGAUGAUUUGAUUCGAUGCCUUGAGAUUCCAGAAGACAGAUUCCAGAAGACAGAUUGAAGAACCCGGAGGACAGAUUGAAGAAUAGAGAUGGUGAUUUAGGAACAAGGAUUUGAUUCCAAAACCUAAGGUUUGAGUUGUGUUGUUCUAUAAUUAUAGGGAUAAUUACCAACGGCUAUAUGGUUUAGGUGAGUUUGGUAGAUAUCCUUAAUUGUGGUAAUAAAUGAGAUUAGGAAAUGUUUAUAUUGGGAAUAAUGAAUUAAGGAUUGGGAGAAUAUUUGAAAGGAUAUUGUUGGAUAUUGAGUGAUAGGAUAUAUGUGUUUUAGUAGGGACUUGUAUGGUAUUUUCACAAUAAUUAUAGUAUUCUAAUACAGUUCAUUG